rnacentral:tRNA from 1 species
UUGAGGUGGCAGAAAUAUGCGUCAAGUUUAAGCUUUGGAGAUAGGAAAAUAUUCCUCCUUAAU